ensembl:lncRNA
AUGCUCUCUUUGACUCCUCUCACUCACGGAUAUGUCUCAUUACUUUUCAGAAUGAUUCCUCUAAAUCUUGUUCACUUAUUUUAUUCCUUAUUUAGACCAGAUAUCUUCUGUUUGCCCUUCCAUAAAGACGUCCCACCCAUGUCCAUGUUGCUCUUCGCCAUCAAGACGAAGAGCCUGUGCUUGGAUCUGGCAUCUUAUGAUCUUCAGCAUCCACCUGUCUAUAGUGAUUUGUCCAGGCUUUCCUAAUGCAUUAGUGCUUGAGUCCUUUCUCCAGGUUGACACAGCAAUCCUUCAUAUCACCUAGGGACAAGUUGGUAAGUGUUCUAAGACAAAUGCUUUGAGACUAUCCCAAGGUGCUUUUGUUUAACAGAGAGCAGAUUCAAGAGCUGUAUAAUUGCUUAACAUAAGUUUUUAGGGAGUAGAAACACUGCCUAAGUUUCCAGGCUCCUGAUUCUUAAGUAGGUAACCCAGACUUCCCCCCACUUUUGACUGAAGCCAUCCUAAUUAUUAUGAGAUGAACCUAAGACAAUUUGAAGCCUAUAAGCUAAUUUUUCAGAGGAUAACAUGGUUUGGAGUGAAAUAAUAAAAAUUCCUUAGUUAAUUUAACAUUAACAAAAUGGUAAAGCAAUUCUUCAUUUAGUACCAAUAAACGCAACACAAUUAAUAAUGGAGAAAGAAAUUAAGUUAAUAUGGAAAGUAUACAUUGUGAAAGUAGGUAUUGUUGAUUCCAAAACUAAACUACGCUUUGUUAGCAUAGCUUGAAUUACCGUAUAUAAUUAUGCAUAGUGAUGGUGCUCUUAUUUAAUAUAGAAACUUCAUUAAUUAUAACAUCAUAUGCUCCAUAAUCUAAAUUGUAGUGGGUUUUAUAUAGUAAGAACCUAUGUGAUCUUUUUGAAUGAAUGCAGUUAUUUCUGAAUAUUUUGGCUAAAAUUUCAAGAAGUAGUCUAAAUUAAUGAGCCUUGGUUGUUUGAAGAAAUUAGGCUUGCCCAAGGCACAAUGGAAUAGAAAUAAAUGAUCAUUCUCCCUGAAAAAUUCAUUCUGCAUAUAUAUUAUAAUGAAAUCUCAGACUAAGACCCAAGUAAAGAAUUUUAUUGCCAGUCUAGUAGGUCCCAACUUGAGUUGGUUGUAUUCAACAGGAUGUACAAAUUCAUUAUUUCAAUAUUGUAUUAGUUAAAGCUCCAAAAUAUUUGGACAUAUCUUCAGAUCCUCAGGUGUUCAAUUCAGUUGGCUGGUUUUUUCUAUAAGCAUAUCAUUGUUUCUUUAAAUUAUUUAAUAUUAGAAAACACCAUUCACUCCAAGGAUUCUAGAGGCCUUGCUUAGUUAAAUAAUAACACACGAGUCAUAAUAGAUGUCAUGAUGUGGAUAGUUUGCUAUGAUCAACACUCAUCUUGGAUGCCAGCUACCCCAACUUAAGAAAUUCAUAGCAAAAGCACUAUAGCAGGACAAACGCAAGUUAAGAGAGACAAGAGAAAAAGCAAAGAAAAGGAAGGAAAAGAAGAAAAGAAAAAAUAAAUAAUUUUAUUAUCACCUUGCUCUAACUACAAAAUAUAUUAAAUAUAUACAUAUAUUUGUGGUAGACAUACUCAAAGGUGGUCCCCAAGAUCUCUAGCUCCUGGAAUUUAUGCCCUAUAACUUUUCUGCCUUUUUAACGUGGAUAGAACCUGUGACUUGCUUCUGAUCAAUAGAGUAUGGCAAAGAUAAUGGAUGUCACUGUCAUGUGAAUGUUUCAUAAAACCAUAAACCAUAUUUCUAGGGGACACUAGCCCUGGCAGUCUUUGAGGAAGCAAGUUGUUAUCAUGCUGGGAAGGCCCUCAUGACAAGAAGCUGAUGAAGGCUUCCAGCUGACAGCCAGCAAGAUACAGAGGUCCUGGGUCCAGUAGCCCAUAAGGGACUAAUGAACUAACAACCACACGAACACGAAAGCGAAUGUUUCCUCGACUGAGCUUCAGAUGAGACUGCAGGUCCUGCCAAUACUUCAACUGCAGCCUUGUGAGAUCCUGAAGCAGAGAUUCCAGCUAAGCUUUUCCAACGUCUGCCCAAAUAGUGAGACAAUACAUGUGUUUUUCUUUUUUUCAGUCACUAUUAUAGAACAAUAUACAAGAAAACAUUCAAUAUAUUUAUAUAAAUUUAUAUUUUAAGUAUAAAAUAUGUCAGACAUCAUAAUAGGUUGUUUAAUUACUACAAUAUUUAAUCUGAAAAAUAACCGAAAGUAUAUAACUCAAAGGAGAGGGAUUUAUGUUACUCAACACAAAUUUGAGUGUGUUCUUACAUUACUCUCUUCUUGUAUUUCUGGGAGAAGCCAAACUGGGUCAUGUAACUUUAAAUUUAGAAGAAUAAAUGUUUUGAUACAAUCGUAGCCUUGAUUUUUAAUACAGUGUUUAAUAAUUUUAUAGUUAUAUAGCUAAGUUGAUUUUAUUCGAAUGAGAAAAGCCAGAGAAUGACACAAGAUAAAGGAAAACGCAGAUGCGCUCUGUCACUUUUAUUUGAAAAUAUCUUCAUUUGGUAUUUAUUCUUCAAUAAUGUUGGGCAUAAAAUUCUAGAUUGAUUUUUUUUUCCUCAUAAUUUUAGGGAAACUUUUUGUCCCUUUUUUAUUUUUGCUUUGGAGAUAUCUUCUGUAUCAUUUCUGUAAUCUAGUUUACUUUCUCCCUUUAAAUAUUUAUUAUUUAUUUAUUUUAGUAUUCUACACUUUUCCUUAGGAGUAAAUUCAUUUUUAUUUACUAUCCUUGAGAUUCAUUAUGCUUUGUAAAUCUAAGAAUUUAGGCUUUUUAUUCAAUUCUAGAAUAGUGUAUGCCUUUUUCUAUAAAUAUUUGAAUACUGUUUUGCUUCCAUUAACUGCAUUCUCUUGUCAUAGAACCCUCAUUAGAUGCAUGUUAAGUUUUAUUACCAUGUCCUCCUCUCCACUUCUCUCAAAUUUUCUUAAGUAUUUAAUAUUUAAAAAUUCAUGUUUCUAAAUAAUUGCCUUAAAUAUAUCUUCUAUCUCAUCAAUGACUUUACAUAUUUUAUAUGUAAAUGUUUAAAUGUAUAUGUUUGCAUACAUAUGUCUAUAUACAUAUGUAUUUAUAGAAUUUUGUGUUUUUUUCUUCUCUUGUUGAUAUUUUCUCAUAGUGUUUGAUUCAUUUCUUAAUAUUUUUAGCUUUAACCUUUUUAUCCUAUUUUAACAGAUUGGUUAAUCAAAGUCACCUGAAUAACAUUGUUA